GACGAACGCUGGCGGCGUGCUUAACACAUGCAAGUCGAACGAGUGGCGAACGGGUGAGUAGUGUCUGGGAAACUGCCUGAUGGAGGGGUCUAACUACUGGAAACGGUAGCUAAUACUGCAUACCAUCAUUUGUGCCCAGAUUGGAUUAGCUAGUCGGUGAGGUAAUGGCUCACCUAGGCGACGAUCCCUAGCUGGUCUGAGAGGGUGACCGGCCACACUGGAACUGAGACACGGUCCAGACUCCUACGGGAGGCAGCAGUGGGGAAUAUUGCACAAUGGGCGAAAGCCUGAUGGAGCCAUGCCGCGUGUGUGAAGAAGGCCUUCGGGUUGUAAAGCACUGUCAGCGAGGAGGCGUUACUCGAAGAAGAAGCACCGGCUAACUACGUGCCAGCAGCCGCGGUAAUAC
rnacentral:rRNA from 1 species